rnacentral:rRNA from 1 species
AGUGAACGCUGGCGGUAGGCCUAACACAUGCAAGUCGAACGGCAGCACAGUAAGAGCUUGCUCUUACGGGUGGCGAGUGGCGGACGGGUGAGGAAUACAUCGGAAUCUACUUUUUCGUGGGGGAUAACGUAGGGAAACUUACGCUAAUACCGCAUACGACCUACGGGUGAAAGCAGGGGAUCUUCGGACCUUGCGCGAUUGAAUGAGCCGAUGUCGGAUUAGCUAGUUGGCGAGGUAAAGGCCCACCAAGGCGACGAUCCGUAGCUGGUCUGAGAGGAUGAUCAGCCACACUGGAACUGAGACACGGUCCAGACUCCUACGGGAGGCAGCAGUGGGGAAUAUUGGACAAUGGGCGCAAGCCUGAUCCAGCCAUACCGCGUGGGUGAAGAAGGCCUUCGGGUUGCAAAGCCCUUUUGUUGGGAAAGAAAAGCAGCAGGUUAAUACCCCGCUGUUCUGACGGUACCCAAAGAAUAAGCACCGGCUAACUUCGUG